AGAGUUUGAUCCUGGCUCAGAAUGAACGCUGGCGGCGCGCCUAAUACAUGCAAGUCGAGCGAGAAGACGUAGCAAUACGUUUGUAAAGCGGCGAACGGGUGAGGAAUACAUGGGUAACCUACCCUUGAGUGGGGAAUAACUAGCCGAAAGGUUAGCUAAUACCGCGUACGCUCCUUGGACUUCGGUUCAGGGAGGAAAGCGCUACCGUGGGUAGCGCGCUCUUGGAUGGGCUCAUGUCCUAUCAGCUUGUUGGUGAGGUAACGGCUCACCAAGGCUUC
rnacentral:rRNA from 1 species